CACACGCGGUGCCACACCACCCGGCGCACAUGUCACAGAGCUCACGGGAGCUUAAAGUGUGGGGCUCAUAUAGCCGGGCACAGCGACACGCCAAGCGGCUCAGUGUCACACCAACACGCAGUGGACUCAGCUUCUACCUCACUCACAGCUCACACGCCACCACAAUGGUCCCCACAGAACCUACACAUCACACCAACCCUGUGCAUAUGCCACACACCUGGUCACAGUUCCAUGCACCUCAGGGAAAUGAGCUUCAAGUUUGGGGCCGGACUUCAGAAGGUCCCCUACAACGUCCCGGAUUCUAGAACUUCUAUGGCCCUGAUCAGCUGUGGGCCACAAGGACCCUCCGUCUGGGGAGCACUGUCUGGGAGCAAUGAUUUCCAUCAGCCCAGCCUCUUGCCUGCCAGUGACCUGUGCAAGUUUGGCCUUCCCAGACCUCUGGGUCCCCAAAUAGACUGCCAGCUCUGGCACCUUCCCUCAAGCUCAGGACAGUCCCUGGGUGGGCAGAGGGCAGAGGUCAUGGACAUCUUGUCAAAUAUGGGAGUCAGAUACUAUCUCCAUCCUGUGUGAAGUCCCAUGGCACAUGGGGACCAGGGUCCACACUUUCAAAGGGGUUGCCCCUGAUGCUGAUCCCAGAGAGGCUUGGGGGGAGUGUCUGUGGUUAAAGUCAAGUAAGUUUGAGAAAUAGCUACAUCUAAGCUCCUCCCCCUUUGGGAACUGGUGGUGGCUUGGCAGGAUAAGGUCUGAGUCUCUCACUUACUGGUAUGUGUGAUACUGUCUUUGUAUGCACUGGAAACUUCCAAUGUGCCUACUGAAAGGGAGGGCCGGAGGGGGCGUCGAAAGACCUGUGAGUCCCCAAACCCCCUCCAUACUUCUGACCUGGCUGCCUGGGUGCAUGCAUUACUCAUCCAAGGACACAAAAGUUUUCAAUCAAUAAAGGCUCUGAAAAGUCCUGCCAUUAAGAAAUCAGAAAACACACAUCCCAGUGGCCUUUCCCAACCUUGACUGACCCCAGAUUUUCUUCCCCUUGUUUGCUUGUUUUCAUUUUUGAUGUCCCUGUUUCCAUGCAGAAGAAAGGCUUGGGAAAAUUCUAGUGCCAAUCCAUCCGUUAACACAAGAGGAAACAGAAGCCCAGAAAGGGCAAGGAACCUGUCCAAAUUCACACAGUGAAGCAACAGAGGAUGAGGUCAGAGCCCAGCCCCUGACCUCUCUCCACCCCAGCGCUGUGUCCCUGCUCAGGCCAGGCCUCCCUCCAGGUCAGCCUUCCCUCUCCCUGGCCAUCCACCCACACACGGCCCCUCCCACCAGCAGCCCUGUUCAUUGUGAGUAUUUUUAUCUUGGCCAGGAGAACGGGGUGGAAGCCUUGGAAAAUGAGUCUGUGGUUAAUUAUUUUCUCAUCAAGAAACCUAAACAGGGUCCAGAGAUUAGGCACAGAGAUCAGCAUGUCUGCAGAGAAGUGAGGGGACACGGGUCUAAGCAGAUGAGGUGGCUGGGUGCCCGUGGGUACCUGGCACUCCUGGAAAUGUUGCAAAGUUGCUGGGGCACCACUCACACGUCCACGCACAGUUACACACACACACACACAGGGUCACGUGCAGACACACGCACUUGCCCUCUGUGGGCACUGAGCCAGGCAGCAGGCAGCGACCGCUCCCUAGGACAGCAGAGCCUCUGAUUCUGUCUGGAGUCCCUGGGGGUCAUAACACUGACCCCAACAGGUGGCUAAACAUCACCUUCGGUAUCGUUUUCUUGUGGGUUCUGCUGGGUCCAUCUCCCCCGUUAGCCAUGCCCGGAAAGCAGGGCUGCGGCAGGACACAGACUCUAGACCUCCCGCCAGGGGCCCUGGAUUCUCGCCCAGGCUCCCGGCCAGGAGUGGUGUUCAUCCCUGGUCCUCCAUUUCCCCAGCUGCACAAGGCCAGUGGUGAGUAAUCCCAG
rnacentral:lncRNA from 1 species